GACGAACGCUGGCGGCGUGCUUAACACAUGCAAGUCGAGCGGUAAGGCCCUUUCGGGGGUACGACGAGCGGCGAACGGGUGAGUAACACGUGGGUGACCUGCCCUCAGCUCUGGGAUAAGCCUGGGAAACCGGGUCUAAUACUGGAUAUGACUCCAUGACGCAUGUUGUGGGGUGGAAAGCCUUGUGCGGCUGAGGAUGGGCCCGCGGCCUAUCAGCUUGUUGGUGGGGUGAGGCCUACCAAGGCGACGACGGGUAGCCGGCCUGAGAGGGCGACCGGCCACACUGGGACUGAGACACGGCCCAGACUCCUACGGGAGGCAGCAGUGGGGAAUCUUGCGCAAUGGGCGAAAGACCUGACGCAGCGACGCCGCGUGAGGGAUGACGGCCUGGUUGUAA
rnacentral:rRNA from 1 species